GUAAUGCCGGAUGCUCCAUCACACUGCAUGGUGUGUUGGGAAAGCCUUUGCGGCAUGGGAUGGGGUCGCGUCCUAUCAGCUUGAUGGCGGGGUAACGGCCCACCAUGGCUUCGACGGGUAGCCGGCCUGAGAGGGCGACCGGCCACAUUGGGACUGAGAUACGGCCCAGACUCCUACGGGAGGCAGCAGUGGGGAAUAUUGCACAAUGGGCGCAAGCCUGAUGCAGCGACGCCGCGUGAGGGAUGGAGGCCUUCGGGUUGUAAACCUCUUUUGUUAGGGAGCAAGGCAUUUUGUGUUGAGUGUACCUUUCGAAUAAGCACCGGCUAACUACGUGCCAGCAGCCGCGGUAAUACGUAGGGUGCAAGCGUUAUCCGGAAUUAUUGGGCGUAAAGGGCUCGUAGGCGGUUCGUCGCGUCCGGUGUGAAAGUCCAUCGCUUAACGGUGGAUCCGCGCCGGGUACGGGCGGGCUUGA
rnacentral:rRNA from 1 species